ACGGGGAGCAGCAGGCGCGAAACCUUUACACUGCACGCCAGUGCGAUAAGGGAAUCCCAAGUGCGCAGGCAUAGAGCCUGCGCUUUUGUACACCGUAGGGAGGUGUACGAAUAAGGGCUGGGCAAGACCGGUGCCAGCCGCCGCGGUAAUACCGGCAGCCCGAGUGAUGGCCGAUCUUAUUGGGCCUAAAGCGUCCGUAGCUGGCCGCACAAGUCCAUCGGAAAAUCCACCCGCCCAACGGGUGGGCGUCCGGUGGAAACUGUGUGGCUUGGGACCGGAAGGCGCGACGGGUACGUCCGGGGUAGGAGUGAAAUCCCGUAAUCCUGGACGGACCGCCGAUGGCGAAAGCACGUCGCGAGGACGGAUCCGACAGUGAGGGACGAAAGCCAGGGUCUCGAACCGGAUUAGAUACCCGGGUAGUCCUGGCCGUAAACAAUGCCUGCUAGGUGUGGCUCCCGCUACGAGCGGGUGCUGUGCCGUAGGGAAGCCGCUAAGCAGGCCGCCUGGGAAGUACGUCCGCAAGGAUGAAACUCAAAGGAAUUGACGG
rnacentral:rRNA from 1 species